rnacentral:rRNA from 1 species
CUACGGGUGGCAGCAGUGGGGAAUAUUGGACAAUGGGGGCAACCCUGAUCCAGCGAUGCCGCGUGUGUGAAGAAGGCCUGAGGGUUGUAAAGCACUUUUAGUGGGGAGGAUAGGCAUUUGGCUAAUACCCAGAUGUUCAGACGUUACCCACCAUAAACAGCACCGGCUAACUCCGUGCCAGCAGCCGCGGUAAUACGGGGGGUGCAAGCGUUAAUCGGAGUUAUUGGGCGUAAAGGGUGCGUAGGUGGUUCAUUAAGUUAUCUGGGAAAUUCCUGGGCUUAACCUAGGAAUGUCGGGUGAUACUGGUGAACUUGAGUAUAGUAGAGGGUAGUGGAAUUUCCGGUGUAGCGGUGAAAUGCGUAGAGAUCGGAAGGAACAUCGGUGGCGAAGGCGGCUACCUGGACUAAUACUGACACUGAGGCACGAAAGCGUGGGGAGCAAACAGGAUUAGAUACCCUGGUAGUC